rnacentral:lncRNA from 8 species
CGCUCGAGGGCACCAGGCUCCCCAGCAUUACGCACUCCUGCCACCAUCAUUAUGCACACCUGCCUUCCCCGUCACACGCAUCAGCGAGUAUUGGACUCACCUGGACUCAAUUAGCUCUGUCAUUACCUCCCCUAUAUCUGUCUGUUCCCCCGGCUCUGUUCCCCGCUCAGCAUUGAUUGUCAUAUGUCCUUGUAUACCCAUGUGCUGAUGCUGGUCCUGUCUUGUUCCAUGUCUUGUUCUAAUUAAAUGUUUGACUCUCCAUACCUGCUUCUCUACUCCAGCAUUGGUCCUUACACCCAAGGUUAGGUAUUCAGAAGACUGAGACAGGUUUCCCUCUAACUUUUUACCUGGGCUUUGCUCCUUUCAUAUUUCUUUUGAUCCUGACAAACUCCCCAGCCCCUGCCGGUGACAAGCAUACCCAAACAUGAUCCUGCUACCACAAUUCUUGAAAUUACCCAUAAUUUCAAACCACAACUGCCAUUCCCUCAUCUCUCCAUCCACUGCAACUCCUCCCCCUCCAACUCCUCCUCCUCAGAUAAACACUCAACUCGUUCCAUCCUAUUAUCCUCUCUCAUUCUCUCAAUGACUACAGGACUUGGGAAGCCCAACACUGUUAUGCUUGAACGUCUCAGUCUAGAUGUUUUUGCAGGCAGCUAAGAUAUUACUCCAGCAGCAACAGAAGAAGAGUGGUCUGAACUCUGCAAAGAGCCACACCAAACCACGGCCCCUACAGGUCUCAAUGACUAUGAUGAGUCCUCAGCAGAUGCAGCAGCUUCUGUCCGCGGGUCAGCUCCAGGUUCUGCUCCAACAACAGCAGCACGCUAUCCUGCUCCAGCAGGUACAGCACGAUCCAAUCCAAAUUACUAUACUAUGCUGUAUUACUAUACUAUACUACAAAGGUCUUCAACGUUUUCUUGCCCAGGGACCACCGCCCAGGCAAUCUGGCAACCCAGGGACCCCAUCAUAUGUUUUUUUCCACGUCUUGUCUUAUUGUCCGGUGAAUGGUAAUGGCAAAGACAAGUAAUCAACAUUUUAAAAUUAAUAUAUUUGGUUUUCAUUAUUUUGACCUCCCCACACUAUAAUUGGAAGAAGUGUAAAGUCUAACAUAGCCUUUUGCUAGAAAGGUAACUCGGGCUGUGACGAUUAUGGAAUUUGGGGUAACGGUUAAUUGUCAUGCAAAUGCCCACAAUUAUUGUCAUAAUUGUCAUUUUUGUUGAAAAAAGUUUUGAGCUUGUAAUGCAUCUUUGAAAAUUUGCUAAUUAGACACUCCUGUCUCAAAAACCAAUGGUUUUGACUGCUUACAACUUUUGGAAAUGAAGCUUCUCCUCCCAAAUGUGCCACUCUGCUUGUAAAAUGAUUACCAACUUUACCCACUUCAGAAAC